rnacentral:rRNA from 1 species
GGAAAGUUGAAAAGUACUUUGAAGAGAGAGUUCAAGAGGACGUGAAACCGGUAGGAUGGAAACGGAUAGAGCCAACGAACAAGCCCGUAUUCAGCUAGUCGGCUGCGUGCGGCAUGCCUGUGUGCCCGAUAGGGUGGAUGGGUGUGUGCGGUAUGCUACCGGCUAGUGCAUUUGCGGGUGAUGUGCGCUGAGGCGUGUGGUGGUGUCCGGCAAACCGUCUGGAGAGGACUUGCCUUCGGGCUUGAAACCUACAGGCGGGGAGUAGGGUUACUGCUGCAUGUAGAUAAAGCGAUCAGGUGCAAACGCGGUGUCGUGUUGCCGGGCUAGCUGCUUGGUCGGUCGCAUGCGACUAGGCCUCGUUGGUUAGUCUUGGUGGCGCGGUACUGACCUGGUCGACCCUCGGUGUAAAAGUUGGUCAUCUCUCCGACCCGUCUUGAAACACGGACCAAGGAGUCUAGCGUAUACGCGAGUCAUUGGGUGGAAAACCCAUAGGCGCAAUGAAAGUGAAGGUCUCUUUAUGAGGCUGAUAUGCGAUCCGUUGCACUUCGGUGUACGCGGAGCAGCAUAGCCCCGUCUCGACUGCUUGCAGUGGGGCGGAGGUAGAGCGUAUGCGCUGGUACCCGAAAGAUGGUGAACUAUGCCUGAGCAGGAUGAAGCCAGAGGAAACUCUGGUGGAGGUCCGAAGCGCUUCUGACGUGCAAAUCGAUCGUCUGACUUGGGUAUAGGGGCGAAA